UUGUAAUUUCGGCUCAGGCUCUAAGGGAUUCCUAAGGGUGGCAAAUGUGCAAAUCUACUGGGACAUUCUUUCUUAGGGGAGGGGAUGGGGAGCCAAAGGAACUUAAGAAUUCUCUCGCUGCGUUGGAGCCCAGCUGCCAGGGCUUAAGCUGAAGAGGCAGAGAGGACUCAAAGCGGCAAGCCCUGGGCUGAUUUCACUGGUCCUGCUACAGAUGGGAUUGUCCCGUUGGUUUGGCAAGAGCCUGCUGGGCUUAAAGUGAAAUGAAACCGGGGGCCCUGGGGACAGCAAAGGAAAUUACAAAUGACAGCUGCGUAGUUUAAUAGCAACAUCUGGUCCAGAGGCUUCAUCUCAGACCGCUGAAGUUGGGGUUAAUUAGGAAAUAGAGAGUGGCACACAUCCAGGACAAGGGAAGGGCCUGGUCUUCUCAAGACCCCUCAAAGUCUUGUGUCUCAGGAAUUUUCUCAGCGCUAGGAAAACCGGGGCGGUUAGUCCCCCCAUGGCCGAGAGCUGGUAGAUGGCUUCUUUCUCUCAGUACGAUCAUCCUAUUCUCUUCACCAAAAUGAGCAGCAGAGAAACAUCAGCAACAACCUUGAGGCUUUUCAAGAACGGCAAGGAACGAGAAAAAAAAAAGUGAGACAAUUCUAUACUUAUGUCUGCACAAGGACAAAAACAGAUGUGCAGCUACAAAAGUGACCAAACACCCCCCUCUCCUGGCUAACUGGAGAGACUACCGCUUCUUCAGCGCUAAGUCUGGCCUUGUUUUUAUCCUUCUGCCCAGGAAAUAUAAAUAGACAUAACCAUUAAAUACCGUUGCGUUUUUACAGGUUUAAUAUAACAUAGACUCCUGCUUCCUUGGGCUCACCUCCAAAUAAGCUAACACAGCCCAACUCCCAGAAUAAACCCCUCUCUCUCCGAAGGGCUCCAUUACGGCACACAGAGUGAGGUCUCCUCACAGCACAGAGCAAAUGCAGCCCCUUGGAUUGCCACCUUUCUUUCUUGAACUGUGACCUUAAAUUGAACAUACUUAGGAGUGCACACCCUUACCCCAGCAUGCUUAAUAAUGUGAGCACAUCGGGUUUAUUUCUGGAGCCUCCCUAACUCCGGGGCACUGAAGCGUGGGAAGAGGAGCUCCCUCUAACUUGUGACUCUCUACUGCUGGACCAUCUCUACGAGGGGAUCGGACGUUUCUUUAAAGUAGAAUCGUUCACUGGAAAUUCCCAUUUUCAGAGGCUCCCCACUUUGCAGGUAUUGGACUAGCUCACCCCACGGACUGGUCCAUGGACUGGUCCAGGACUGGUCACCCCACGGACUGGUCCAGGACUGGACAUGGUCGUCAGUGCUGUCUGCAAUAGAUGCUUUAGUUCUUCUCAGCUUCCAGACACAGAAGGGGAGAUGGAGCAUAUCUACGAAGAGAGAUGCAUUAGACGUAGCCAAGUUGGGGCUAACGAGAUGACUCAGUGGGUAAAGACUGGCUCUCACCUGACAACUUGGGUUUGAUACCUGGAACCUAUAUGGUGGAGGCAGAGAACUUGUUCCUGCAGUUUGUCAUUUGACUUCCAUACACGUGUCGUAGCACACAUGCAGCCAUGCAACACACAUGUACACAAAAUAACUAAAAAUGGAAUUAAAAAAGUAGCUGAGUCAGAAUUCACUCCACCGAGAUGACCCUAGGACCUCCCUAAAACCCAGAGCAGAGGCAGGGUUUGGGGGACAAAGCACAAAUGGCUUGGUGAAAAUGUACUGGGGCAUGGCGGGCUGG